rnacentral:rRNA from 2 species
CGAUGUGAUCAUACCAGCACUAAAGCAACGGAUCCCAUCAAAACUCCGAAGUUAAGAGUGCUUGGGCGAGAGUAGUACUAGGAUGGGUGACCUCCUGGGAAGUCCUCGUAUUGCAUUCC